rnacentral:rRNA from 1 species
UCGAGGAUCUUCGGCAAUGGGGGCAACCCUGACCGAGCGACGCCGCGUGGGCGACGAAGGCCUUCGGGUUGUAAAGCCCUGUCGAGGGGGAGAAACGCCCGCAAGGGCUUGAUCUAUCCCUGGAGGAAGCACGGGCUAAGUUCGUGCCAGCAGCCGCGGUAAGACGAACCGUGCGAACGUUGUUCGGAAUCACUGGGCUUAAAGGGCGCGUAGGCGGGCUGCCGAGUCCGGGGUGAAAUCCUCCCGCUCAACGGGAGAACGGCCCCGGGUACUGGCGGCCUCGAGGCGGGUAGGGGCGUGCGGAACACUGGGUGGAGCGGUGAAAUGCGUUGAUAUCCAGUGGAACUCCGGUGGCGAAGGCGGCACGCUGGACCCGAUCUGACGCUGAGGCGCGAAAGCCAGGGGAGCGAACG